UGCGCAGGCGGUUAUAUAAGACAGAUGUGAAAUCCCCGGGCUCAACCUGGGAUCUGCAUUUGUGACUGUAUAGCUAGAGUACGGCAGAGGGGGAUGGAAUUCCGCGUGUAGCAGUGAAAUGCGUAGAUAUGCGGAGGAACACCGAUGGCGAAGGCAAUCCCCUGGGCCUGUACUGACGCUCAUGCACGAAAGCGUGGGGAGCAAACA
rnacentral:rRNA from 1 species